UGGCUUUGGUGAUGAUGACGACAAAUAUCUUUCUCAAGAAACAAAAUAUGUAUGUUUUCAGUCACUACCUCAUCUGAAUGGUCA